GAUUAUCAACUUUCGAUGGUAGGAUAGAGGCCUACCAUGGUGGUAACGGGUAACGGGGUGUUAGGGCACGACACCGGAGAGGGAGCUGAGAAACGGCUACCACAUCCAAGGAUGGCAGCAGGCGCGCAAAUUACCCAAUCCCGACACGGGGAGGUAGUGACAAUAAAUAACAAUACGGGGUUCUUUCGGAUUUCGUAAUUGGAAUGAGUACAAUUUAAAUCUCUUAACGAGGAACAAUUGGAGGGCAAGUCUGGUGCCAGCAGCCGCGGUAAUUCCAGCUCCAAUAGCGUAUAUUAAAGUUGCUGCAGUUAAAAAGCUCGUAGUUGAAUUUCGGGAUCAAUAUGUUGGUCGUGCCUCGGUACGUACUAGCUUAUUGGUUUCUCCCUUCUGACGAACCAUGAUGUCAUUUAUUUGGUGUUAUGAGGAAUCAGGACUGUUACUUUGAAAAAAUUAGAGUGUUUAAAGCAGGCUCACGCUUGAAUACAUUAGCAUGGAAUAAUGAAAUAGGACGUUUGAUUCUAUUUUGUUGGUUUCUAGGAUCGACGUAAUGAUUAAUAGGGAUAGUUGGGGGCAUUAGUAUUCAAUUGUCAGAGGUGAAAUUCUUGGAUUUAUUGAAGACUAACUACUGCGAAAGCAUUUGCCAAGGAUGUUUUCAUUAAUCAAGAACGAAAGUUAGGGGAUCGAAGACGAUCAGAUACCGUCGUAGUCUUAACCAUAAACUAUGCCGACUAGGGAUCGGAUGAUGUUAAUUUUUAAUGACUCAUUCGGCGCCUUACGGGAAACCAAAGUGUUUGGGUU
rnacentral:rRNA from 1 species